ensembl:lncRNA
GCAAAACUGAACCCUUCCUCUAUUCUUCAUGUUCAGACGCGGCACUACUGUGCCAUUAAUGUCACGGUACCGGUGCUGCAACGGUACUAUGGAGGGGAGGACACCCGCCCGGACUUCAGGCUGGGCACAGACGCCAUGCAGCACCUGAUGGUGGUCCUGAAGACUGACAGUCAGCACGGGUGGGGGCCGACCCUGGAGACACUCGUGUUCCUGUUCUGGCUGGCCACCGGUUCAGCCUACCGAGUUGUCUCCAGGGUCUUCUGUAUGCCUCUACCUACGGUGGUGACGGCGUGUGUAAUUUUACACAACAUUUGUGUUGGUGUUGGGGAUGAGCUGGAAGAGGCUGUGGAGGACAAUGACAACCAGCUACCUCUGGAGCGCGAUGGUGGGGAGAGCCGGAGUGGAGCUGCUUGGCGAGCCGCGCUGACCAACGAGGUGUCUGCAUUUCAUGAGGCACCUCUGGAUCUCGAAUAUUUUUCCCAGGCUCUGGUUUGUGACUCAGAUGCUGAGGGAAACACACAGACUCGGGGAGGCAGUUGAAGUGUUUAUUCACACAACCGGAAUCAAACAGAGGGAUUGUUCAGGGUUGAGUGGUUCCAGGAGGCGAGCGGCGAGGAGAGUUGAAUGGCGAAGUGAGCAGGCAGCAGGCGAGCAGGCAGCAAUUGAAGCUGUGUGGCAAGGUGAGCAGGCAGCAGGUGAACAGGCAGCAAUGUCAGAGCGGAAUCUGGACAGAGAAGAUGCUGUUUAACAAGGGCACACUGAAAUUGUCUAGAACGCAUAGGGACUAGGAUGUCUGAGGGUUUGCAGAACCAAGUUACCACAGGUAAUGUUGUAACGGAGUGGCGCUGAAGAGGUGAACAGCCCAGGUUGAUAUCUGCUGGUU